UACGUAGGGUCCGAGCGUUGUCCGGAAUUACUGGGCGUAAAGAGCUCGUAGGUGGUUUGUCGCGUUGUUCGUGAAAACUCACAGCUCAACUGUGGGCGUGCGGGCGAUACGGGCAGACUAGAGUACUGCAGGGGAGACUGGAAUUCCUGGUGUAGCGGUGGAAUGUGCAGAUAUCAGGAGGAACACCGGUGGCGAAGGCAGAUCUCUGGGCCGUAACUGACGCUGAGGAGCGAAAGCAUGGGGAGCGAACAGG
rnacentral:rRNA from 1 species